AUAUUUGUGCUUGGGACAAUGACGCAACUGAUGAGGUCUUAAUCGAGGCGCAUCCACUGUUGGUUGAAAGCAAUUUCCAAGUCCCCUCUUGGGCCUAGAUUCGGCCUAAGCCAUCGAGAAUAUUUGGAAGGGGUCCCUUCUGGGAAAAGCCC